rnacentral:rRNA from 1 species
AUGGAUGUAGCUAGCUACUCUUAUACUGAGAAUGAACACCUUGAUACAAUGAAUGCUUUGAAAAGAGAAUGUAAGACUGCUUGGACAUGGCUUCAUAAAAUACAUGUUCAUACUUGGGCUAGGCAUGCUAUGGAUUUUAAUUACAAAACUGACCUGGUAGUUAACAACAUCAGUGAGGUGUUUAAUAAAAUGAUAUUAGAUGUCAGAGGCAAGACAAUAGUGACCAUGAUAGAAGGAAUUAGGACAAAAUUGAUGGUCAAAUUUAACAAGAAUAGAACAAAGACAGAGACAACAAACUGA